GGGGAUUUAGCUCAGUGGCAUAAGCGCCUGCUUGGCAAGCAUGAUGUUGUGAGUUCAAUCCCCC
rnacentral:tRNA from 1 species